rnacentral:lncRNA from 1 species
UCCCCCUCUCCUUAUCGUGCAUGUGGUGGAGCAGCUCUCCCUCUCCCUUUCUCUCUCUCUACCCCUCUCAUGCAUGUGGGCAGUCAGCUCUCCCUCUCCCUCAGCUCGUCUAUAUUGGUUGAUUAGAAGGUAAGGUGUUUAUUUUAUUUUUUUUGUUUGUUAUUCUUUUUAUUUUAUCUUUUUUUGAUAGAUAUGUGGGGAAGGAG